UACGUAGGCAGCGAGCGUUGCUCGGAGUUACUGGGCGUAAAGAGUGCGUAGGCGGUUUUCUAAGUUUGGUGUGAAAUCUCCCGGCUCAACUGGGAGGGUGCGCCGAAAACUGCAAGGCUGGAGUAUGGGAGAGGUAGGCGGAAUUCCUGGUGUAGCGGUGAAAUGCGUAGAUAUCAGGAGGAACACCUGUGGUGUAGACGGCUUACUGGACCAUGACUGACGCUGAGGCACGAAAGCGUGGGGAGCAAACAGG
rnacentral:rRNA from 1 species